rnacentral:rRNA from 1 species
GUGCCAGCAGCCGCGGUAAUACGGAGGGUGCAAGCGUUAUCCGGAUUCACUGGGUUUAAAGGGUGCGUAGGUGGUUUUGUAAGUCAGUGGUGAAAGCCCGGAGCUUAACUCCGGAACUGCCAUUGAUACUGCUUAACUUGAAUCAACUUGAGGUGGAUGGAAUAUUACAUGUAGCGGUGAAAUGCUUAGAUAUGUAAUAGAACACCGAUUGCGAAGGCAGUUCACUAAGGUUGUAUUGACACUGAGGCACGAAAGCGUGGGGAUCAAACAGGAUUAGAUACCCUUGUAGUCC